rnacentral:rRNA from 1 species
UGAACCUGCGGAAGGAUCAUUACAGUAUUCUUUUUGCCAGCGCUUAAUUGCGCGGCGAAAAAACCUUACACACAGUGUUUUUUGUUAUUACAAGAACUUUUGCUUUGGUCUGGACUAGAAAUAGUUUGGGCCAGAGGUUUACUGAACUAAACUUCAAUAUUUAUAUUGAAUUGUUAUUUAUUUAAUUGUCAAUUUGUUGAUUAAAUUCAAAAAAUCUUCAAAACUUUCAACAACGGAUCUCUUGGUUCUCGCAUCGAUGAAGAACGCAGCGAAAUGCGAUAAGUAAUAUGAAUUGCAGAUUUUCGUGAAUCAUCGAAUCUUUGAACGCACAUUGCGCCCUCUGGUAUUCCAGAGGGCAUGCCUGUUUGAGCGUCAUUUCUCUCUCAAACCUUCGGGUUUGGUAUUGAGUGAUACUCUUAGUUGAACUAGGCGUUUGCUUGAAAUGUAUUGGCAUGAGUGGUACUGGAUAGUGCUAUAUGACUUUCAAUGUAUUAGGUUUAUCCAACUCGUUGAAUAGUUUAAUGGUAUAUUUCUCGGUAUUCUAGGCUCGGCCUUACAAUAUAACAAACAAGUUGACCU